AGGGCAAACCGGAUCUCAACACGGCCCUCCCCAUCCGGCAGACGGCGUCCAUCUUUAAGCAACCCGUCACCAAAGUCACCAACCACCCCGACAACAAAGUCCGUUCCGACCCACAACGCCUCGCAGACCAACCCCGCCAGCUCUUCUGGGAGAAACGACUUCGGGGUCUCAGCGCUUCCGAUGUGGGGCAGGAGAUCCUCCGGGCUAUGGAGCUGCCCAGGGGGCUGCAAGGUGACCUUUGACCCCCCCCCAUAGGGUGACCUUUGACCUCGUGGGUGACCUCUGACCCCAUAGGGGGACCUCUGACCCCAUUGGGUGACGUUUGACCCCAUAGAACGGCUUUUGACCCUAUAGAUCCCAUAGGACGGCCUUUGAGCCUAUUGACCCCAUAGGGUGACCUUUGACCCCC
rnacentral:lncRNA from 1 species